rnacentral:rRNA from 1 species
UACAGUUUGAUCCUGGCUCAGGACGAACGCUGGCGGCGUGCCUAAUACAUGCAAGUCGAGCGAAUCGAUGGGAGCUUGCUCCCUGAGAUUAGCGGCGGACGGGUGAGUAACACGUGGGUAACCUGCCUGUAAGACUGGGAUAACUUCGGGAAACCGGAGCUAAUACCGGAUAAUUUCUUUUCUCGCAUGAGAAGAGAUGGAAAGAUGGUUCUGCUAUCACUUACAGAUGGACCCGCGGCGCAUUAGCUAGUUGGUGAGGUAAUGGCUCACCAAGGCGACGAUGCGUAGCCGACCUGAGAGGGUGAUCGGCCACACUGGGACUGAGACACGGCCCAGACUCCUACGCGAGGCAGCAGUAGGGAAUCUUCCGCAAUGGACGAAAGUCUGACGGAGCAACGCCGCGUGAGCGAAGAAGGCCUUCGGGUCGUAA